rnacentral:rRNA from 1 species
UACGGGGGGGGCAAGCGUUGUUCGGAAUUACUGGGCGUAAAGGGCCAGUAGGCGGCCAACUAAGUCCGACGUGAAAUCCCCAGGCUUAACCUGGGAACUGCGUCGGAUACUGGAUGGCUUGAAUUCGGGGAGAGGGAGCAGAAUUCCAGGUGUAGCGGUGAAAUGCGUAGAUAUCUGGAGGAACACCGGUGGCGAAGGCGGCAUCCUGGACCGGCAUUGACGCUGAGGCGCGAAAAGCCAGGGGAGCAAACGGGG